rnacentral:ncRNA from 1 species
GUUUGGUCCUGACCUUAAAGUCAAUUUUUACUUAAUUUACACAUGCAAGUCUCCGCCUCCCUGUGAGAACGCCCUUUAACCCCUAAAAGGGUCAAGGAGCCGGUAUCAGGCACAAAUCUUAGCCCAAGACACCUAGCUAUGCCACACCCACAAGGGAAUUCAGCAGUGAUUAACAUUGAACAUGAGCGUCAGCUUGAUUCAGUUAAAGUAAAAAGAGCCGGCUAAUCUGGUGCCAGCCGCCGCGGUUACACCACGUGGCUCAAAUUGACCCCCCUCGGCGUAAAGCGUGAUUUAAGGGACUCUAAUCUGGUGCUAAAGAAAUACUAAGCCGUGACACGCUUGUAUUUACGAAAAUCAAAAACGAAAGUUACACCAACCCAACCAACUUGAACUCACGACAGCUAGGAAACAAACUGGGAUUAGAUACCCCACUAUGCCUAGCCGUAAACUUUAACUUACACCUAAAUCGCCUGGGAACUACGAGCUAAGCUUAAAACCCAAAGGACUUGACGGUACCCCAAAUCCAUCUAGAGGAGCCUGUCCUAUAAUCGAUAACCCCCGCUUAACCUCACCACUUUUUGCCCAUCAGCCUGUAUACCUCCGUCGCCAGCUUACCACGUGAGCGCUUACAAGUGAGCUUAAUGCCCGUUCGCCCACACGUCAGGUCAAGGUGCAGCUAAUGAAGUGGGAAGAGAUGGGCUACACUCUCUAACCUAGAAGAAACGAAAGACUUUAUGAAAUCUAGUCGGAAGGAGGAUUUAGUAGUAAAAAGAAAACAGAGUGUUCUUUUUAACCCGGCA